UAAUAUUGACACAUGCAUAAGGGAAACUAAGCUGUUUUUAGCAAUCCAACCAUGAAUUGAUUUACUAUGGCUUCUUGGGAAAUCAACCCUGACUGCUCUUUGGAAGGAUAAAUACUGAAACUGAAGCUCAAAUAUUUUAGCCACCAAAUAAGAAGAAAGGAUUCAUUGGGAAGGACUGUGAUGUUGGGAAAGAUUGAAAGCAAAAGGAGAAGGGGACGGCAGAGGAUGAGAUGGUUAAAUCGUGUCAUUAAUGCAGUGAGCAUUGGGCAGACUCUGAGAGACAGUGGAGGAUGGGGGGGCAUCUAGCGUGCUGUGGUCCAUGGUCCAAGUCAGAAAUGACUUGGAGACUGAAGAAUAACAACAAAUGGCUUUUCACUCCAUAAUAUUGGCAGAACAAAAUAUGCAUUUAAAAUGUUCAACGAAAUGUGCAUUAAAAACAAGACUUCUUGCCUGGACCUAAAAACCAGCCAUAAUAAUAAGUAGCUGAAUUUUG